rnacentral:rRNA from 1 species
CUUGAACGCUGGCGGCAGGCCUAACACAUGCAAGUCGAGCGGUUGAGGGGAGCUUACUCCCUGAUUCAGCGGCGGACGGGUGAGUAAUGCCUAGGCAUCUGCCUAUUAGUGGGGGACAACGUUUCGAAAGGAACGCUAAUACUGCAUACGUCCUACGGGAGAAAGCAGGGGACCUUCGGGCCUUGCGAUAAUAGAUGAGACUAGGUCGGAUUAGCUUGUUGGUUAGGUAAUGGGCCACCAAGGCAAUGAUCCGUAACUGGGCUGAGAGGAUGAUCAGUCAGACUGGGACUGAGACCCGGUCCAGAGUCCUACGGGAGGCAGCAGUGUGGAAUAUUGGACAGUGGGCGAAAGCCUGAUCCAGCCAUGGCGCGUGUGUGAAGAAGGUCUUCGGAUUGUAAAGCACUUUAAGUUGGGAGGAAGGGUUGUAGAUUAAUACUCUGCAAUUUUGACGUUACUGACAGAAUAAGCACCGGCUAACUCUGUGCCAGCCGCCGCCGUAAAAC